CACUACAUACCUAUUAGAAUGGCUAAAAUUUAAGAAAACUGAUGAAAUCUACUGUUGGUGAGAGUGCAAGAACUGGAACUCUCACACUCUACUGGUGGGAACGUAAAAUGGCACAGCAUUGGAAGAGUUUGACAGUAUUUAUUUAUUUAUUUAUUUAUUUAUUUAUUUUUACUGCUGCACUUUCAGCAUAGGGAAGUGCCAAGAGUUGAAUGGGAGCUGCAGCUGCAGCAUAUGCCACAGCCAGGGUAACACUGGAUCCCAGCCACAUCUGUGACCCGUGCCAUAGCUUGCAGCAACAUCAGAUCCUUAACCCACUGAGUGAGGCCAGGGAUUGAACCCCGUCUCCACAGCUGAGCCACAAUGGGAGCUCCAAUUUCUUAAUAAGUUAAGCAGACAUUUAUCAUUCAAUUUGGCAGUUCCACUCCUAGAUAUUUACCUAAGAGAAAUGGAAGCAUAUGUCCAUAUAAAGACCUGUUCAUGAUUGUUCAUGGUAGCUUUCUUGGUAGUAGCCAAAAGGUGGAAUCAACCCAAAUGUUCAUCAGCAGGUGAAUGGAUAAGCAAACUGUGGCAUGCUAAUACAGUGGAAUCAUAUUCAGCAACAAAAAAGAACAAAGUCUUAGUACACACAACAACAUAAAUGGACCUCAAAAUAGUUAUACUGUGCCUGACAAAAGAACAUAUAUUGUAUGAUUCUCUUUAUAUAAAAUUCUUAAAUAUGCAAAACAUUCAAACUAUACAAUGCACAUUUUUAUGUUUUGGCUUCCCCAAACCUGAACACCCUUCCUUUAGAGGGAAUCCCAAAUUCAAGAAGCAGCAGCAUCCUGCUGUCCAGUAUGGAAGCUGAAAUAGACAGAAAUUUUCUCUCCUUACCAGUUGCAGCUAAAACAGGCGCAUUUGGUCUUAACUACCUGCCACACUAAUCAGAGUCUCCUCUCUGGGACUUGAGCCUUAAGGGUGUUCUCAGUUUGAGAUUAUUUGUAAUAUAGUCAAGGACUAGCAUUAUGACAGAUGUUUCCAAGGGUAUGGAGGUCAGCAGGGAGCUAAUAAGUGAUUAGCGGGUCAGGGUUGGUACUCCAAAGAGAUUUAUACCUAUGGUAAAAUCUUAUCUGUGCAUUUCCUUCCUCAGACCCUUUGUACUUCUUCUUUGCUAGGUACUGUGGACUGCUUCCUACUGUUCUGUAGCAAACAUUGCUACAGAAUGUUUGUCUAGUUCCCUCUUCCUUCCCAGGCAGAAGGCAAUUCGCACUUCCUCACCCUUUUGCCCUUGGUUGGGUCAUAUGAUAAGUCCAGGCUGAGCCACCAAGAAGCCCCUGCCUGAUUCUCUGGUGUCUCCUUUCCCCUGACAUUGUGUCUAGUGAUAUCACAGAUAGUGGAUCACCAUCAUUCUGGGUCUUCAAGUGACAGUGUGAAACAGAUGGCCUGGCCCCAACCCUCACUGGUCCCGUAGGGUGAGCAGGAAACUUUUGUGUGUAUUAAGGUCUCUAAGAUUUUGAGGGUUCCAUUUUCCUACUCAACAUGCCAUUCCAUAUAUUCUUUCUCUGUUUAGGUGAAUCUGAGUCAUUUUCAAUGCCCUAACAAAUUCAGUUAUUGGUACCAGAGAAAGAGGUUGUAGGCAACAUAUACUUGGAGAAAUGGGGAGAAUCUAGAACUGGUUAUCAGACCUUGCUUAGGAAAGGCAAUUGAGAAGAUGCAAUUGAGAAAUCACGUUAGUAUUCAGAGAGAGGUAUAUGGCAGUCUAUGGAAUAUGGUAGUAAACAGCUAAUGAAAUUAUCCAUGGGCUCCCAUUAAUGAGGUGCUCAUUGAAGGCAGAGGCUUUGGGGAACAAUAGUUCCUGCCAUAAAAAUACACAAUGAUGAUGACAACAGGUAUGACACUUACUUAUGUGACUAGGCACUGUACUACACACAUAUAUUAACUUGUGUAAUGAAGUCAAGGAUGUACGUAAGAGAUCAAGGACUAACCAGCAGGUUCAAUGGCCAUAUCUAAAGGCACUAGAGAGCUUAAAGAAAAAGCAAUAAGCUGAAGUUAAAAUGCUGCAAAAUGGUAAUAAGAGGAGUGCCCGUCGUGGCGCAGUGGUUACUGAAUCCGACUAGGAACCAUGAGGUUGCGGGUUCGAUCCCUGGUCUUGCUCAGUGGGUUAAGGAUCUGGCAUUGCUGUGACCUGUGGUGUAGGUUGCAGACACGGCUCGGAUCCUGCGUUGCUGUGGCUCUGGUAUAGGCUGGAGGCUGCAGCUCCGAUUUGGCCCCUAGCCUGGGAACCUCAGUGGUAAUAAGAGUUUUCUUGAUUGUUAAACUAAAAUUUGAAUUCAGUAGUGGCCUAUAAUCAAUGAGGUAAGAUGUCAUAACUUCCAUGGCAUGACAUAGAAGAAAUCCAAAGGUUUAUGGAGGCGAGAAUGUUGGAGUGAACUUAUCAUGUUCAAACCACUCCCCUUCCCCAACUCUAUUUCAGGAGGAGGGGGAGGGUCUUAGAGAGCACUUUACUAAGUCACUGAGAAAUGAAUCAGUGUGGGGAGAUACUAGCGCUGAACUGGGCCCUGAUUUGAACGAGAAUUACGAGGUUUACAUUACUGGAAGAACUCUAGGCCUAGCAAGCAGAAACCUAACUUGAGUUGUCACAAUAACAAGUUAUGGUGUCUUACUAUGUUCCCACACACAUGCCAAAUAACUGAUCUGAAGCCCCUUGAUUGAAGGGUGUGUGUGAAUGUCACCUUGAGGGAGCACCUGGGGCCCCUGGGGGAAAAUGCAGAAUGGAUACUAGCUCUGAGUUCACAGCAAUUUCUAGGGGCUAGAAAUGGCACUUUGGUCUGCUGGAUGAGUGAAGAAUAGGGGAUACGUUUGGUCUGCUGAAUGAGUGGAGAAUAGGGGAUACGUUAAAUUGUAUCCUGAGUUUAUCUCACGGUGGUGUUAACAUAUAAAAGAGCCACUCUGCAGUUUUUUGAAUUCCUGAAUUCAUGGUUGAAAUAUUGAUAUUUAGCAGCUGGUAGACCACUUACAUCCGUCUCUGACCCAUGAUAUAUAGGCUAAUGUGGUAAGCAGGGUCCAGCCAAUGUAAAGACUCUCCGGUUAAAUAAUAAAUCAAGAGUAAUCACACCUCCAUGUGGAGACUUUAAAGAUUAGUGCUCCCAUUAAGGGCUUGAACAUUGCAGGCUAUUGAUCCCUAUCGCAUCCGUGUUUAACUUGCUUGUUUUUGGCCAAUAUAAAAGCCAGAUGAAGUUGGAAAAAGCCUGUGAAUCAUUAUAAAGUUAAUUAAGAGGUGACUCCAAUUACAACUGCUUUUCCAGGUGUUGCAUCUUUUUCCUGCAAUGAAUGAACAUGGUCCCU
rnacentral:lncRNA from 1 species